AAAACAUGAGGAGCAGGAGGUGACUUUUUUCAGAACGUGAUCCUUUGUUCUUGAUGCUUGCGGGAAGAUAAAUAUGAGAGGCUCCAACAGGGGAAACAUCUGUGGAGAAUACUUGUUAAAAUCCUUACGAAUACACUGCAUUUGCAGCACGGUGAUUUCCUUUGAAACUCCAAACAACAAAAUAGUGCCCUCAGCAAAACCUGAAGGUAGCAGAAAAUCCAUCUGUUGGGCUGAUGAAGGGCAAAGACAACGAGGAGAUGCAGCAGCAAGAGGACUGCUGCAUGAGGAAAGGCAGUGA
rnacentral:lncRNA from 1 species